AUUGAACGCUGGCGGCAUGCCUAAUACAUGCAAGUCGAGCGGAUGAAGGCUGCUUGCUCCUGGCUUCCGCUUCGGACGGGUGAGUAAGGCCUAGGAAUCUGCCCGGUAGUGACGUAUAACGUACGGAAACGGGCCCUAAUACCGCAUACGCUCAUAGGGAGAAACAGUGUGUUCCUCGGAGCUCACGCUUUCAGAUGACCCUCGGUUGUAUUAGCUAGUUGGUGGGGUAAAGGCCUACCAAGGCGACGAUCCGUAACUGGUCUGAGAGGGUGAUCAGUCACACUGGAACUGAGACACGGUCCAGACUCCUACGGGAGGCAGCAGUGGGGAAUAUUGGGCAAUGGGCGAAAGCCUGAUCCAGCAAUGCCGCGUGUGUGAAGAAGGUCUUCGGAUUGUAAAGCACUGUUAGUAGGGAAGAACGGCAGUGAGAGAAAACGAUGCUGUUUUGACGGUACCUACAGAAAAAGCACCGGCUAACUACGUG
rnacentral:rRNA from 1 species